GGAAGUUACCACUUACAACUUAUCCAAAACUGAGGGGAAGAGAAAAAGAUUAGUCAGGCCCCCAAAAAACGAAGCCAAAUUACAUAAAUGAGGGGUGCGUCACUUGAGUGGGUUGAGUCACUGACGUGGUCUUCCUGUCUGGGUUGGUGCCCCCCCUUGGGUUGUGCCAUGGUGGAGAUCUUUGUGGGCUAUCCUCGGCCUUGUCUCAGGAUGGACCUGAGCCCUAGGACCAUGCCUCAGGACUACCUGGCAUGAUGACUCCUUGCUGUCCCCAGUCCGCUUGGCCGUGCUGCUGCUCCAGUUUCAACUGUUCUGCCUGCGGCUAUGGAACCCUGACCUGUUCACUGGACGUGCUACCUGUCCCAGACCUGCUGUUUUCAACUCUCUAGAGACAGCAGGAGCGGUAGAGAUACUCUCAAUGAUCGGCUAUGAAAAGCCAACUGACAUUUAUUCCUGAGGUGCUGACCUGUUGCACCCUCGACAACUACUGUGAUUAUUAUUUGACCAUGCUAGUCAUUUAUGAACAUUUGAACAUCUUGGCCAUGUUCUGUUAUAAUCUCCACCCGGCACAGCCAGAAGAGGACUGGCCACCCCCAUAGCCUGGUUCCUCUCUAGGUUUCUUCCUAGGUUUUGGCCUUUCUAGGGAGUUUUUCCUAGCCACCGUGCUUCUACACCUGCAUUGCUUGCUGUUUGGGGUUUUAGGCUGGGUUUCUGUACAGCACUUUGAGAUAUCAGCUGG
rnacentral:lncRNA from 1 species